UUUAUUUCAGAUUACCCAAAGAUGAUGUGUUUGCUCAGAUUUCAUACCGCCAUGGAUGAGUGCUGUCUGUAACAGGGAGUAGAAAACUGUUGUGUCUAAGUAGAGAAAGAAUGCUUAGGAUGAGAGACGUGCCUCUGGAGAGAUGCAGAGAAAUGCAGCAGCAGGCAGGGAGGGAGAGAGAAAACUUCAGCACAAGAUAGGCCCUGCCUUGCACCUGUCAUUACUGCCUGUCUUCUCCCAGAGUGCCUGAAUUAACUGUCGUAGGGACAGGACAGUGAUUGCAUGCAACUUUGAGGAAAGGACCUGUUUAUCCCUGUUUAUCCUCUGCAUUCUGAUAACUGGCUGGAACUAAAGCAGCAGUAAUUUGAAGGAAAAGAGAACGUGAAAUGAGCCAUGAGAAGAGAGCAGACUGGAUAACGUUGGUUCUGCUUCCCCCCUCCUGCCCUGCAUGAAGUGUGUGGCCCAGAUUGAGCAAAGGAAGCUGGUAUGGAAAUUCCAUUCUCUUCUCCAGAGUAACCUGUCACCAGCCAGCUUUUUUGUACCAUGUCCUGCAACAUUCCCUCAGCUGAAUCUCUCGGGCAGAGAAAGAAUAUGUACCUGUGCCCCUAUAACAUGGCCUUGGGCAGCAGAAGGGUUUAUACAUCCCAUAUGGAGCUUUAUGACUUCAGUUUGAUACUAUGCUGGAACUUAGAAGCAUGCCUCAUGCAGUGUGUGCACCUUUUCCACUUGGCAUAUGCCUGGUUGGCUUCUCAGAGAGAGCAGUGUACUUCCUCCUCACCCACGGAAUGCUGUGCUGCUACCUUCGAUGCCAUCCUCAAACCCUUCUCUGAACAUGAACCCCGCAUUUCCUCAUAGACUUCUCAGGCCCUGUGAUAUUGGGGAUUACUCUGUAAAUGCAGCAGCUCCAGAAGGCAGAGGACACUCUACUCAGGUCUGUUGACACUGUCCUAUUCAAGCAGAUGGAAAAUAUGAUGGCUGUGACAGAAAGGACAAGCUUCUUUCAAGUCUUUUUUUUCCAACAAGGUGGAAUGGCAGUACUAUGGUCUCAGAACUGUUUUGAAUUGUCCUGAAUGAGGACAGAGCAAAAGGAAUGUUCUCUUCGGUUGCAGAAAAGAAGUCAAAGUUUGUGGUAUCCUCUUGCUGGUGUGCCCGCUUCCUCUGGAUGGGAAGACAUAAUCAAGUGACAUCUGCAUGAAGACUAGCAGUUCUCACUCAGAGGAUUCUGUUGGUGCCUUAUCCUUCCUGGAUGACAUAAAGAUUCUACAGUGAACACUAAGAACUUCAAGCAGGGAAGGAAAAAAAGGCACAAACUUAGACUUGGGCAGCACCACAGAACAGGUCCCUAGCAGAGCCAGCAAUACUGCUGAGUCCUCUUCAUUAUCAAGCCAGUAGACCAUCUAGGGGGGAAAAAAUGGAUUCAAGGCACUCAGAACUCCACUGGUCAAACAGAAAUAAACAUUCCUGUUAAGUAACCAUGAGCAGAAAGCAAGAGUCUUGCAGAACAAGCCUCAUAUCAACACAGCUGAAGACUUUCCUGAGGCAAAUAGGGAUUUGAACCUGAUUCUGCUGGCAUUCAAGAUCACUGGGGUACAUGCUGCAGAGAACUUGGAGCUGACUGUCAAGCACUACAGUAACUUACGCUACAGUUGAGCCAACAGGAACCACCUGUGUCACAUGCAUAGCCUAUCCAGCAGUAGGGAUGUUGUCCUGGAGAACUUCUGGAGAAAUUGUGAUAGAAGAUGCCUAACAGUGUGCUUGGCACAGGGAGAAGAGUACUCUGCAUCUUACAAGCCCUUCCCCUGAGGACAUUCUCCCAGCACAACAGAAGCCAGUAUAGAGUAAGAUGGAGAGCCAUGAGCACAGUGUUGCAGAUGGUGCUUGAACUGCUUGUGGAAUUCCCUCAUUGUGAUAAAAAAGGAAGGAGUGACCCCUGUUGCAAGUCUGGGUAUUUUGGACUGGGACUGGAAGAGCAAACGUGAGCCUAUGGAAAACAAGGUGUAGUAGAAUUAUUCCUGAUCAGAGAGAAACAAGUAAGAGUAGUAAAAACAGCUUUGUCUGCAUAAUUGUUUACAGUAAGGAUGUUUGCUGAUUCUGCUACAGUAGACACAUCAUGUCGCUUCACACUGACCAACAGGACUAGCAAAAAUGUAUGGUUCUAACUUUAGUAACUGCUGCCACCAGGCAAGAGACAGCAAGAACCCUGACAUCUCCUAAGGACUGCGGAUGUGUGCACUUUUCAUUAAGAGGAAAGUAUUAAAAGCAGACAUGAUGAGCUCUCCACCUAGAUUCUGGAUUUCUGCUUUAACUUGACUGCAGAUUUUGAGCUGAUGGGAGUAUAGCUUGAUCUGUUCCAGCUCACGGACAGAGUGGUGAAAGAAACCUGAGUUACUGGGAGCUUUACUCCUCUUGCGGCAAUCAGACUUCUAAAACAAGACAGUUGUUGUCUGUCCAGACUCUAUUGCAAGCGUCCUCACAACAGCAUCACCAGCUGGAUUGUGAGAGAACUUCCCACCACUUUUCUGCUUGAUUUUUAUCAUUUGUUUGGCCUGUGGUUGGCCUGCAUGACCACUUCAGCCUGUGCAUAACCCCCUGCUUUUAAGUAACCAAGCCACAUGCAUCCUCUCUAGCUAGGUGGCAUGAAGGACUAGCCUAAGUCACCAUUUCUGCAUCUGCAGGAUCAGUUCCUGUUGACUGUUUGCAGCUCUCUUCUGCAUACAGUUUCAUCAGCUGUGCAGCAGGGACUGCCUGGGGACUCUGGCCAAGCCAGAUUCUCCAACACGGUUGUUUAUCAACACAGCAGAAGCUGCCUAGGGGAGUCUUUAAGGACACACUGGAACUUGCCCCUGGAGAGCUCCUGCACCACUGGACUGCACCCUUAAUGGAGUUCAGCCAUCUCCGUGUUUGGAGUCACUCCCUUGUUCCAAAGCCAUCCGUGGUCUCCUGGAUGCAUGUGACUACAUGGGGAGUUCAUGGACCACCCAGGAGUCACAUUUCCAGGAUUUGCUCAAUAGCCAUGAAACAUGCUGGUGAUGAAUUUACUUACAGUAACAUAACUCAAGUGUCAAGAUAUGAAGUAAUAUGCAACAAAAGAUUUCUAACAAAAGUAUGAGUUGACAACAUUGGCUGUUUGAGCCCAAAAUGACAGCAGUUAAAACAUGGAAGGUCUUAAUCCCUAUUCUACUCAUCAGACAUCAGUAAGAAAGCUCUCUUGCAGCCGCAUGGAAGUGAGAGGUUAUACCGCACAGUGUCACCACUUUCCUCUGCCAUCACAGAUGACACAGAACUACUGGAUGCAUUUGAUCCACUACUUGCUGACAUUAAGGACAAAACUCAGAUGAUCUCAACAGUUCAUGACUGAGAUAAGUAUGCAAAAAUAUAGUGCAAGAAGAUCAUACAUUUGCAAUCUAUAAUGCAGAUAUUUGAUGCAGACUUUUCCACCUUUACUAUCUUCUACAGGCCCAGGUUAACAGCCAGUGCAAUCUUCCAAUAAAGAAUUUACUGCUGUUGGGCAUUUGGUGAAGUACGACUCCAUGUGUGUGACCUGGACAUUCCAAAACACCUGUCACAAUAUUUACUCAUAUUAAGGUCACACACCUCCAUAUCCCCAGAUACCAGCCUCUAAGCAGUCAAGUAUCUGCUGCAUUGCUAAGAACACCGCCUCACUGAACAAUGCCAACUGGUGGCCAUCUGCCUUUCAGAAAGGCAAGCACUACGAGCCAUUCCAUCCAAAUGCAAGCUUUGUCCAUCAUCUCCCAUCCGACUUCCUUUCAAGCAAACCAGAUGGUAUGUCUCCACACAGAACUGAGGGCAUGACAAGGGAAAUGCCAACUUUAUAAUAAAAAAGCUGAAACCUGCUCUCAGCUGAUGCCAGGCAGUCAGGAGUUUGUGGUAUGGGCAUGUCUCCCUCUGCCCUGCAGUGUUAUGCCUCAAAGGUGUCAAGAAUACAGUGGAACAGAGAAGCCAAACAGCCCACUGACCUUCAUGAACAGUUGUACUACAUCAGGGUUGAGGUAUACUCUAAGAAUGAAUGCCGCUAUCAGCACAUUUUAAGGAGAAAGAAGUCUAGUCCGGAAGAGUACCAAAACAGCAACCUCCAAAGUCAUGGGAUAAAAAAUGUGGUUAAAAAUGCUGUAUGCUGUUGAAGAAAGAAGUGCUGAAACUAUUGCUAGGCUGUGUGAACCCCAAAAGGUCCUGGUUUAAUUGAAAAUGUUUGGAACAGACUCCAGUUCUAUUUUUAGCAGAAAACACAGCAGUUGAGUACUGUUUCUGCUGUUCAGCAUGCUCCCAAGCUUCCACAUCUACAAGGAAUUCUACAGCAUAAAAGAAAUGAUUGAGAAAUGGCUACGGACAGUCCAUCAGGGAGUCAACGAAACACCGCAAAAGCAAACAUCAGAAUUAAGCUGAAGAAUUGUAGACUUCCAACCAGCUAACUAGCAGAACUCCCUAUGAGUACAUUGUUAUAUCCACAUUAUUGGGAAGUCCUGUGGCCUCUUUAACUCCCAGUUAACUCUUCCGGAUCUGCCCCUUCCGGCUGCUGUACCGAAGGUGACUGACAGUGCUCGAGAACACAGCUGGCUUUCUCGCUUCCUUCCCCAUGAACAUCCAGGGAUGAAGACUGCUGAGGCCACAGCAAGCACCAGCUUGUCUUAAGGUUUGAGCUCUCCGGUCUGCAAUUCAAAGGUCUUGGGCACAGAAGACAUAAAGGAUUAUGACAUUUUGUGUUUGUUGCAGCAGAUGCUACUCAGGUUAACUCUUCCGGAUCUGCCCCUUCCGGCUGCUGUACCGAAGGUGACUGACAGUGCUCGAGAACACAGCUGGCCUUCUCGCUUCCUUCCCCAUGAACAUCCAGGGAUGAAGACUGCUGAGGCCACAGCAAGCACCAGCUUGUCUUAAGGUUUGAGCUCUCCAGUCUGCAAUUCAAAGGUCUUGGGCACAGAAGACAUAAAGGAUUAUGACAUUUUGUGUUUGUUGCAGCAGAUGCUACUCAGUGUUUGGAGCAUGCAACAGGCAGAAUGACUCAGAAGAGAACUGACUUGAAAACGUACAUGGACAUAUUCAAAUACAGCUUUCUAACAGUUUGAGAUGAAGUUAUGUAAAGUACCAAAGUAAGACAUUACUGCAUACACAAUAUGCCAGCAAUGGUCAUCUAGACUGCAUUUGCUUUGGUACAUAAGCACCAAACAGCUCAACAUAAGUAACUGACUACAGGCAAAAAACUUGUGACACAAAGCUUUCUCCCACGUGCCCUCUCUUACCUCCGAGCCCUAAGUCCUACACAUGUGAUCCUCACUACACAAAAGCUUCUCAGAGAGACUGGAGACAACAGUGAACAACAAUGAACAACAAUGGCAUGGGGGCUGCUGCCAGGAUCACUAGAGGCUUCAUGCUCUUACAGGCUUUUCUCUAUAUAUGUUUAUAUAUAUAUUUAUAUAUGUCUAUUCAUUUCUCCUCUUCCUCCUAAUGAGGCCUCAGCAUAAUCUCAACUCCCUCAAGUUUUACUACAAUUUUUUCUUAAGCAAUGAAUUAUGAUUAUAGAAAUGAUUAAAUACAUAUGUACAAUAAAUAAAUAAAUAAAUAAAUAAAAAUAGAUAUUGAAAUCAGCUGCACUGGUACUUUAUGCAGAUACCUUGUGUUCCACACCAGGCUGGGCAACCAAGAUCUUUGAUACUGCUCAUCUUCAUGGCGCUACUCUCAGUGUUUUGUAUUUAUCACUUUCUGAAGUGGUCCACCUCUUGCAUGGUAGGCUAUCAAGAAUUACACACUGUAAUUAUGUUGCAGUAAUAAAUACCUUGUGGUUUAUUUUUGUUUAUAAAACAUCACCUACCAUACUUAAAAUGUAAAGUUAUGGCAAUGGCUGAAUUACCUAUAAUUGGUAUAACAGGUAAUCAGUUUAAUAUAUAAUGCAUAUGUUUUUCAAGCCAGGCCAUUUAAGAGAUUUUAUCUAUGCUUACAUUACUCUGUCACGAGGCUAAUUUUUCCAUUUAUAUAAAUUACUGGAAAUUACAGGUCUCCCUAAGUAUGUUAUAAUUACAGUCACUAAAUUAGAAAGUGUAACUGCAUGUUUUAAGCAGUACUUUUCCUGUUUUGUAAAAAAUAAAAUAAAAUAAAAUAAAAAAAAGACCUACAACGGACCACGUAAGGACUAUGUAAGACCAAGACAUUUUUCUCAUGGCUAUAAGAUGAGCUUCCUGAGAAAGAUAUGAAACAGACAAAAACAAAGAGUUAGAUUCCAGAAUCAGAAGAAUUAAAUACCACUUUUUACACUGUUUUGGGUUGAAAAACACAAGCCUGGAUUUAGAAACCACAAGAAAGAUGACAUCUUAAUGAAAGCAGUCUAACAUACUGUAAGUAUCCUGUUACAUGCCAACACAAAUGACUCUCAGCUGGAACGAGACACAUUAUCCACUGGAACAAAGGGGCAACGGAAAACUACAAUUCUGACAUUGAUUUCUGUUUCUUUUCCCUCAUACCACUUUAAAAACAUAUACGGUAACAAAAUAAAACAAAUAUACACACAGUCUUUUAAGUGCAGACAUGACCUUGCAUUAAAAUAGAAAACAUAUAGGUACGUGUGAAAUAAAAAUAUAAAUUAAAUGUCUGAUAUUACAUGAAUGCAGGAUUAUUUUGUCCAUCAGGAGAAUAUGAUUUUAUUCAUUACUUCUAAGACAAAGGUUUUUUUUACCACAGUAGAAGAUAACAGUAAAAAUUAAGAGAGAGGACAUCUUUUUUCUUAUUUUUCUUUCUUCUCUAACAAAAAGCACACCUCUUACAGGGAGGAAGGAUGGAAACAGAAAUAAUAGAAUGAUUUACAGUACAUCCAAACAGAUGUUUACAUUAUCAAAAACUCCCUCUGUCUAAGGUAGAGAUGAGCCAGAUAUUUUUUCCGAAGGGAAAAGCUUCCUUUUGAAAACUAUUUAACAUUUCCUGCUUUGUAAGUUGCAGUACCAUGAAACUGCAAGGAGAAAAGAGGUAAAUGCCACUUUGCUACACUUUUGUAUAUUACCAAGAAAAUAAACCCAACUUCCUUAAUGGACCACAUGAAGAUAGACUCUUUUCAGAGUUUUUAAAAACAAGAAUACAAAGUAAUGUGCUCUUCACAUUUUGUAGUUAGAAGGUAAUGGCAGAGAUCCAAAAAGACCAGAUUCAUAUCCCUCCUUUGCCUAGUUGAGAGCUAAGCUUUUUAUUUCACAAAGGGCUCAGCAGCUGCAUGAAACCAUCCCACCUAAAUUUUUGCUCCCUAGCUACAGUCAACUGGGCACCAGCUUCAAAGACAUUUGUUGGAAGUAAACAAGAUCUCUUCAACUCAAAAGAUAGUGACACAUUUCAAUCAGUUUUAAAUAAUUUCCAACUGUGAUCUGUGAUUGUUUUUUGUUAUUAUUUAUAAAUUUGUAAGUUAUACAUGUAUACAACUUUGCAGAUCUGUCAUGUGUCAAUCUGUGCACAUCAGUUGAGUAUUUUAUCACAAAGGCAGACAUAAGAUAAAUGCCAAACAUAAGCACAUUUCUUGAAUAUAGCAUAGAGUUAGAAGAGAUUUUGUUAAAAUUAAUAAAACGUGCCCACUAACUUUUAAAUCACAUCCUACUUUUUCUGCUAAGUGAACAAUUGUUCAAGUUUGGAUAAAGAUGCGAAACAGCAAAUGCUGGAUAUUAGCAAUCUGCAGCAAAGUGAAUACAAAGCAUGUUCCCUAUAGGUGAAAUGUAUGGGUGUGAUACUGACAGCUGGGAGAAGCUUGAUUUCUUCUUUCAAGUUUACCACCUGCUGUGUCACCAGUUGUCCUAUUUCAACAUGCCAUAAAAUCUGGACUACACUAGAUGUUGUCACUGAUUCUCAUGUCAUUCUCUACACAAUCUAGGGAAGCAAGAUCUAGAUGUAAUUGCCCUUGAGUAGUUGUGACACUCAUUGAAAAACUGUUCACGGAAUAUUUACCAAGAACUCAUGACAAGGUGGAGGGAACUAUCAAAUGAAAAUCUGAAGGGACUGGCCCUGACUCCGGCAUUAUUCACUAUUUUCAGUAAUGGCGUGGAUGAAACACACAUUAUACAUCUGCAGUAUAGGAGGCCUGGUUUACAAUUCAAAGUGAUUUUUACUCCUUGCUAAUUCUUAAUUAUCACAGUUUCAAUAAAGGGAAAAGAUGAAGGCAGUUAGCACUUAAAUGCUUUUGACAGAUCAUGACUCCUCACAGGGAAUCUUUUGCCAUAUAUUAAGUAAAAAAAUUACUAUUAGCAGAACCCACACAAUACUACUGUAGCUACUUGUAUUACGUUUGAUUUUUGUCAUUAACAUUUGUCUGUGCAGCAUUGCUAAAAAUUAAACUUACUUAUUAUUUUAAACUUGCCUUUUUGUUAUCAAGAUAGAAAAGAAUUGCUGUUAAUGUAUGUCAGCAUUUAUAUUAAUAUAGGAUAUUAAUAUAAACAAUGCAUCAUAAAUAAUGAUGCAUAGUCAUUGUUUAUUGAGUAAGAGAAUAUAUCAUUCAUCUCCCUCCUACAUGGUCCCUUCUGACAGCUGCCCUGGCAGCAAGAGGGCAAAACACA